rnacentral:lncRNA from 1 species
ACAAUCUCACUCUCUCGAAAACCUAGUUCGAAGUUCGAACGCUGCUUCGUGCUCCCGCCGCUCCUCGAUACACUUCAACGGCGCUCAUCCGGCCACACACACAUAGACACAGGAAGACAUGAAUUUGACACCAAUCGAGUCCCAAAAUCCAGGCAAGGGUUUUUUAUUUUCACUGGGUUUUUGUUCUUUAAGGUUUAAGGUCAAAUUUCAUGUUGAUUAACUUGAUUUCUGAGUAUUUUGUCGAAUGUGUGAGGGUUUGAGGACUAUGGGUUUCAAAUUAGGGUAGGUGCAGUGCAGAGCCUGCAUGCCUUUGGGAGGGUGGGUGCACGAAUUUGUGGGUUCAUUCAAAUUAAUAUUAGGGGGGGUGGGUGCACGAAUUUGUAGAAUAAAAUUAUAGGGGAUAGGGAAAUAGGACUUGCACGAAUUGUAGGGGGUUUCAGAUUAGGGUGGGUGCAGUGCAAGACUUGCAGGCCUUUGGGAGGGUGGGUUCAUCGGAUUAAACUUUUAUUGAUCCACAGACAAAGGUGAGCCUGCUCGUUUAUUUUUUGUUAUCAACAUUGAGAAGUAAUGGCCUUGACAAUAUUUGAUUCUUGGAAGAAUGGGAAUUAUGAGGGGAAAUUAUAAAACAUGUUCAUGAAUUAACCCUUGCGUACAAACAUAUUUGUUAAUGAAUCAUUCGCCUAUAUGUGCUAGAUUAUGAUUUACAAGUAAGAGUGUGCAAAAAGCCAGUCAAUGUUCUUUCCCUUUUCAUGAUUUAGCAUUGUAGUGUAGGUGUAGUUUGUUAGGGGUUGGAUAUAAAAAUUGUUCAACUUUCUGCUUUGAUAUGGAUUGGCAUAUGCUGUGAAUAGAGGAUGAUGAAGAUGAACCACUGCGUAAUCAAUUAGCUUAUCAUUUUCGUUGUUUGCAUCAAACUAUGCUUCAUUUUGUUUCAAGGGAGCAUGGCUAUGAAAGCACAUGGAACUGUUUGCAAUUCUCAAUUUUAAGAAGCUUGAUUUUGCAUUAAGUAUGCGAUUUGCACUCCGUCAAUUGAUCUUUUAUUUAUUUUUGGUAGUGCAGGCAAUAUCAUUGUUUGGAGCUCAAACUCUAGAGCUCAUUGCGGCUCUGCUGCUUCUGCAGAGUACUGCCAAGCCACAAUAUAAGUUUGUGGAUUUCUUCAAAGCUAACAAACUAUCAAAACAGAGGAGCUAGUUGCAUUAGCAUUGCAUUCGAGCAACUUGAUUACAGAUAGAACUGAUUCCACCCAAUCCUGAAGUGACCUGAAAAUCCCGAAUUUUGAGAAUUGAAUAGUUUCAAUUUGGUUUUGGGAUAUAAAAUCCCAUCUUGAAAUGUUUUGGUUUGGGAUUCGGGUUGGGGGUUUCAGUUCGAGAUCCCAACCCAAACCAGCCCUAAUUAGGACAUAAUAAUUCCGUUUCGUAGAUGGUUGGAUUGAAAAGCACAACCUUUUAAAUUCAAGGCAUAUUUAUGAUAGAUGAUAAUAAUUUUUCAAGAAAUCAAUGGCCUUCUCAACGGCCUACCUACAUGAGAAAAACCAUCAAAGUUGGUAUAGCGGUGUGUCAAUACGAAGGACAGACUGACGGGGGUUGUACAUUGAAAUUUCAAGUUUUUUAGGUUCUCAAAGGUUAAGAAAAAAGAACAUAUGGACUGCAACAAGUGUGGUCUCAUGUAAUUGCUUCUUAUAGUGAAUUUUCUGUUUUUUGUUAAAGUACGCAGAAUGCGGGAAAAUCUUCAAGACAAUAUAUACAUUGUACUACUGAAAUUUGUCUAAACUGCUGCUGCUGCUGCAAUAUAAGCA